rnacentral:rRNA from 1 species
GAUGAUCAUGGAGCUUGCUUCUUGUGAUUAGUGGCGAACGGGUGAGUUAACACGUGAGUAACCUGCCCCUGACUCUGGGAUAAGCGUUGGAAACGACGUCUAAUACUGGAUAGGACUACUGGCCGCAUGGUCUGGUGGUGGAAAGAUUUUUUGGUUGGGGAUGGACUCGCGGCCUAUCAGCUUGUUGGUGAGGUAAUGGCUCACCAAGGCGACGACGGGUAGCCGGCCUGAGAGGGUGACCGGCCACACUGGGACUGAGACACGGCCCAGACUCCUACGGGAGGCAGCAGUGGGGAAUAUUGCACAAUGGGCGAAAGCCUGAUGCAGCAACGCCGCGUGAGGGAUGACGGCCUUCGGGUUGUAAACCUCUUUUAGUAGGGAAGAAGCGAAAGUGACGGUACCUGCAGAAAAAGCACCGGCUAACUACGUGCCAGCAGCCGCGGUAAUACGUAGGGUGCAAGCGUUGUUCCGGAAUUAUUGGGCGUAAAGAGCUCGUAGGCGGUUUGUCGCGUUCUGCUGUGAAAUCCCGAGGCUCAACCUCGGGCUUGCAGUGGGUACGGGCAGACUAGAGUGCGGUAGGGGAGAUUUGGAAAUUCCUGGUGUAGCGGUGGAAUGCGCAGAUAUCAGGAGGAACACCGAUGGCGAAGGCAGAUCUCUGGGCCGUAACUGACGCUGAGGAGCGAAAGCAUGGGGAGCGAACAGGAUUAGAUACCCUGGUAGUCCAUGCCGUAAACGUUGGGCGCUAGAUGUAGGGACCUUUCCACGGUUUCUGUGUCGUAGCUAACGCAUUAAGCGCCCCGCCUGGGGAGUACGGCCGCAAGGCUAAAACUCAAAGGAAUUGACGGGGGCCCGCACAAGCGGCGGAGCAUGCGGAUUAAUUCGAUGCAACGCGAAGAACCUUACCAAGGCUUGACAUACACCGGAAACGGCCAGAGAUGGUCGCCCCCUUGUGGUCGGUGUACAGGUGGUGCAUGGUUGUCGUCAGCUCGUGUCGUGAGAUGUUGGGUUAAGUCCCGCAACGAGCGCAACCCUCGUUCUAUGUUGCCAGCGCGUUAUGGCGGGGACUCAUAGGAGACUGCCGGGGUCAACUCGGAGGAAGGUGGGGAUGACGUCAAAUCAUCAUGCCCCUUAUGUCUUGGGCUUCACGCAUGCUACAAUGGCCGGUACAAAGGGCUGCGAUACCGUAAGGUGGAGCGAAUCCCAAAAAGCCGGUCUCAGUUCGGAUUGAGGUCUGCAACUCGACCUCAUGAAGUCGGAGUCGCUAGUAAUCGCAGAUCAGCAACGCUGCGGUGAAUACGUUCCCGGGCCUUGUACACACCGCCCGUCAAGUCAUGAAAGUCGGUAACACCCGAAGCCGGUGGCCUAACCCUUGUGGAAG